AGGAAAUUCCCUGUCUACAAAACCUAGAAAGCUAACAAGAAUGGGAUGGAGCAAUAGGGAUGAGAGAAGUAAAAAUUGACAUGUUGAUUCUAAGGAAAGGAGCACUUCUGGGCUCUAGAGGAAGUAGAUAUCAUCAUAUCUGGAAGGCAGAGGAGUGAAAGAGGAGAAAACUCAUCAAUCCAGGAAACCCUUUUGGGGAGAGAGAGGGUUUCUCCUCCUUAUCACACCAGCCGGCAUUUGAUCGGAGAGGUGGCACUGAAUGUGUGGCGUCUGAAUGUCAGCAUCCCAGGCUAGGAAAGAAGAGCACGACUUUUGACAUUGUCUUGUAUAUUUGCAGGUGUCUGCAUUUCUUAAAGAAAGGGAAAAGGAACUUUGAGUU